rnacentral:snRNA from 1 species
GUGCUCAGUUCAGCAACACAUAUAUUAAAAUUGGAAAGACAUAGAGAAGAUUAGCACGGCCAUUAAAUAAAAAAUUUUAAAAAAACGUUGAAUUGUAUUUUAUCUUU